AGCCGCUAUGGUGAAAUCGGUAGACACGCUGCUCUUAGGAAGCAGUGCUAGAGCAUCUCGGUUCGAGUCCGAGUGGCGGCAUGCCAUCUUCU
rnacentral:tRNA from 1 species